rnacentral:rRNA from 1 species
CGGGAAGAAACGCACCUACGUGUAGGUGUCUGACGGUACCGUAAGAAUAAGGACCGGCUAACUCCGUGCCAGCAGCCGCGGUAAUACGGAGGGUCCGAGCGUUAUCCGGAAUCAUUGGGUUUAAAGGGUCCGUAGGCGGGCCUGUAAGUCAGGGGUGAAAGUUUGUGGCUCAACCAUAAAAUUGCCUUUGAUACUGCAGGUCUUGAGUCAUGGUGGGGUCGCCGGAACAUGUGGUGUAGCGGUGAAAUGCAUAGAUAUCACAUAGAACACCGAUCGCGAAGGCAGGUGACCAACCAUGUACUGACGCUGAUGGACGAAAGCGUGGGUAGCGAACGGGAUUAGAUACCCCGGUAGUCCACGCCGUAAACGAUGGAUACUAGCUGUGGGGACUUCGGUCUCCGUGGCCAAGCGAAAGUGAUAAGUAUCCCACCUGGGGAGUACGUUCGCAAGAAUGAAACUCAAAUGAAUUGACGG